UUGGGAGAGGGGGAUUCCGAGGGGACUGAGGGGUCGCGGGAGGAGGAAGCCGGCAACCAAAGGCACCGGCUCCCCGAACAGGGAGUGCAGCCUGGGCCUGGCUGGGUGGGCAGCUCCUGGGUUAUCAACUCAGGGGCAGGAAGGCUUUGGCCUUGGAGCCGGUUCGGCUGCUUUGCUCCAGGUCCUGGCGGCCCUCGCUUUCCAGUUGACCUUGCCCCCACGAAAACAGGGAGCAUUCCCAGAGAGGAGGGAACCCGCGGGGCCUCGGGCGGUUUGGGGGAGUCACGUAUCAACCGGGAAACCAGGGCAACGGACGCGACAAAAUCCGACCCAGAGAAGUGUCCUUUAACAGAGCGAAUGAGCUGGGGGAGCUUUUAGAGGAGAAGACGGACCAGUCUAUUUUUGUGGUUAUAUUUUUAGUAAAGGGAAGCGAGAAAUAAGGGACAAGGAAACGGAAUCUGGAGUAUAACUUGUCUUUCCGGUCGCCCCACAUUUUCCCCUGGACCGAGCCAUGGGUUUCGACUUUCCGAAGGGCUGGAGCCUGGCCGGGAAAAGACCAGAGCUCCAUACGUCCUGGCGCGGAGGAGUGAGAAGGCUGGAUCGCUUCUAGGGAGGCCCAAGUCCGCGCGGCUGCUAGAAGACGCCUUCGGAAAGAAAUCCGCUGAAAUCUGUCAUCCAGAGGACGAGAGACAAGGCGCAGGGGUCCCCGAACCCCGGGAAAACUGGAAGAAAAUGUGUAAUGUGUGACUUGCUGGCAGGGCCAGCCAGGGGAGAUUUGAAAUGCUUUCGUGUUUCCAUUUACAGAGGUCGCCAUGGGCUCGGCACAAGGGGUUGGCCCCGGCAAGGUUAGCCUGUUUAGGCCCCAGAUGAGACUUGGGACAGCCCCGGCGGCAGUCAAUCCAGGGAGCCAUUUGUCCCACCCCGCGGGAAACGUGGAGACUUUAUGGCCACUCUGUUUGUAUUAUCUCCGUAAGUCUUUCCCCACCAGUUUGAUCGAAACUGUUCGCUUUUACGAGGACCCAACGAAAAUUCCCCGUCAUAUUUAUCAGCCGAGGAUAAAAAUUUAGUAUGGGAACUGAUAUUUCCUCAUUUAUGGGGCGAUGAAAUUAAAGACCAAAGCAAUUGAGAAUUAUAUGGCUUUGGGGGGGGUCCCGGGGUUCCCUCCCCGCUCUUUCACAUCUCCUUUAUUUCCCUGCCUGGUGUCCCUGUCCCUGGAGUUUGGCAUCCCAGUCUCCUGCCCUUGCCCCCCAUCUUGGGGUCUGCUGGGCCCUCUCCCCCAGACCCAGGUGCCUCUUGGCCACCUCAGCUAUUACUGGUCUUUCUUUCCGUGUUAGGAGCUGGGGGCCGGGACAACACUCCCUGAGCCUCUCUGCCCAGGCCAGGCUGGGCUCGGCUGGGGCUGCGGAAGGUUUCCAAGAGCCUCGAAGGGGAAGGGUCUGAGCCCAGCCCGGGAGGGGUUGAGGGAGGUGGCGGAGUGAAGGAGACAAACUCCAGAUAACCUCUCAAAAACAUCAAGCCCCACCGCUUAACCUGGGGAACCAGCAGGAGAGAAGCAGAGUCACUCGGCUUUGAGACCUGUCUCCCCUACCAGCCUGACCCCCAUCCCAAACUCACUCCUUACGUCAGCCCUGGGUGGGGAUGGAGUCGCUUUCAGAAUCCUUGCCAUUUUUAAUGGAAAUAAUCCCCCUGGGAGAAGGAGACGCGCCUCCACUCCCAUCUCCUCACAAGAACGAAUAGUGUUUAAAGUUGAAAUAAUUAGAAGUAUGAUAAACAUGGCCCAUUAAUGAAAAAAGAAAUCAAAUUCAUCAGCCUAAGUGGGACCCCCAGUGGGACAAAUGUUUGCCUUUAAUUACGCAGGAUAAGCGCAACCCCGGAGCUGUUAAACAAGAACCGGAAGACGCCGACUUGAAUAACUUGUUGGGUUUUUGCAGACUUGGGAUUCUGCACCAGUGGAGACGAAAGGAAGGAAGACGUGAGGGCUCUAGCCCUCAAGGCACCCCAGAGGCACCCUGAUUUCUCCAAGGAAAAUUAGUGGAGCUUCCCCACAAGGCUAAGGACGUCAUCUAGGAAAUUCCAAAGGUGAGGUGAAAAGAAGGAAGAGUGUCUUUCCCCUUGGGAUAAAAUAAUAAAAUAAAAUAAUUAUACAGUGUGUGUGUGUGCACGCGUGUGUGUGUUGAAAUCUCAAGUGAAACGGAAAACAAAAUCACACCAGUGGUUAAAAUUGCAGGGUUUUUCCCUCUUGUUUUGGAGGCCCAAAUAAAUCAUUCUCUUUUCAA